UACGGGGGGAGCAAGCGUUGUUCGGAUUUACUGGGCGUAAAGGGCGCGUAGGCGGCCACCGCAAGUCAAUUGUGAAAUCUCCGGGCUUAACUCGGAAAGGUCAACUGAUACUGCGGGGCUAGAGUGCGGAAGGGGCAACUGGAAUUCUCGGUGUAGCGGUGAAAUGCGUAGAUAUCGGGAGGAACACCGGUGGCGAAGGCGGCCCCCUGGUUGGAUACUGACGCUGAGACGCGAAAGCGUGGGGAGCAAACAGG
rnacentral:rRNA from 1 species